UAGGGAAUCUUCGGCAAUGGGGGCAACCCUGACCGAGCAACGCCGCGUGAGUGAAGAAGGUUUUCGGAUCGUAAAGCUCUGUUGUAAGAGAAGAACGAGUGUGAGAGUGGAAAGUUUACACUGUGACGGUAACUUACCAGAAAGGGACGGCUAACUACGUGCCAGCAGCCGCGGUAAUACGUAGGUCCCGAGCGUUAUCCGGAUUUAUUGGGCGUAAAGCGAGCGCAGGCGGUUAGAUAAGUCUGAAGUUAAAGGCUGUGGCUUAACCAUAGUACGCUUUGGAAACUGUUUAACUUGAGUGCAGAAGGGGAGAGUGGAAUUCCAUGUGUAGCGGUGAAAUGCGUAGAUAUAUGGAGGAACACCGGUGGCGAAAGCGGCUCUCUGGUCUGUAACUGACGCUGAGGCUCGAAAGCGUGGGGAGCAAACAGGAUUAGAUACCCUGGUAGUCCACGCCGUAAACGAUGAGUGCUAGGUGUUGGGUCCUUUCCGGGACUCAGUGCCGCAGCUAACGCAUUAAGCACUCCGCCUGGGGAGUACGACCGCAAGGUUG
rnacentral:rRNA from 1 species